UGGUGAGGUAACGGCUCACCAAGGCAACGAUGCGUAGCCGACCUGAGAGGGUGAUCGGCCACACUGGGACUGAGACACGGCCCAGACUCCUACGGGAGGCAGCAGUAGGGAAUCUUCCGCAAUGGACGAAAGUCUGACGGAGCAACGCCCCGUGAGUGAUGAAGGUUUUCGGAUCGUAAAGCUCUGUUGUUAGGGAAGAACAAGUACCGUUCGAAUAGGGCGGUACCUUGACGGUACCUAACCAGAAAGCCACGGCUAACUACGUGCCAGCAGCCGCGGUAAUACGUAGGUGGCAAGCGUUGUCCGGAAUUAUUGGGCGUAAAGGGCUCGCAGGCGGUUUCUUAAGUCUGAUGUGAAAGCCCCCGGCUCAACCGGGGAGGGUCAUUGGAAACUGGGGAACUUGAGUGCAGAAAAGGAGAGUGGAAUUCCACGUGUAGCGGUGAAAUGCGUAGAGAUGUGGAGGAACACCAGUGGCGAAGGCGACUCUCUGGUCUGUAACUGACGCUGAGGAGCGAAAGCGUGGGGAGCGAA
rnacentral:rRNA from 1 species